rnacentral:rRNA from 1 species
UACGGAGGGUGCAAACGUUGCUCGGAAUCAUUGGGCGUAAAGCGCACGUAGGCGGCUCGUUAAGUCGGAUGUGAAAGCCCUGGGCUCAACCCGGGAAGUGCAUUCGAAACUGGCGAGCUUGAAUAUGGAAGAGGGUCGCGGAAUUCCCGGUGUAGAGGUGAAAUUCGUAGAUAUCGGGAGGAACACCAGUGGCGAAGGCGGCGACCUGGGCCGAUACUGACGCUGAGGUGCGAAAGCGUGGGGAGCAAACAGG